CAGGCGUUUCCCCAGCACUUCCCCACCCGACCGGCCUCAGCAGGUGUGAGGAUGAGGAGGAUGAAGCCCGGAGUGCGAGCCAGCCCCGCCGGCUGCCGAGUGCCACCAGAGGGUGCUGCUCCGUGCGGCCGGCCGGCAGGGACGGGUGGGAACGGGAGGGAUGAGAGAGGAACGAGGGAGGCUGCGGCCCCCAGCCAGCUCCCUGCCUGCCAGCCCAUGCUGUGGUUGCCAGGCUGCUCGGUUCGGUUGCCCCGCAGCUAGCGAGCUCCGUCUGAUGAACCUCAGCUCCCUCUGGAGAAAACAAGCGUUUGUGGCCGUGUUGAUGUGCAAGGAGAAAAACGUUGACGCCGCAGAUAACGUGUUGUAACUUAAAAAUGCUGACUCACUGGCACUGUGUGCCAACACAAAUGUUGCUGCGGAAAUCAAUCAUCGUGAGAGCCUGGUGAGAUACAACUCCACAGUGUCAUGGGCUUUGAAUGGGCCUCCAAGUUUCUUCUUCAGACAGUUGGCUUGGUAACUCCCAUCGUGUCAGGUUUUUCAGAUCCAAAAACACAGAACUGCUGGAGAUUCCUUGACGUGUAUACAGGCAAAACAGAGCAAGAAAGAAUCCCGUUCAUCCUUGCUGGCCAUUCUGUUUCUGAACUGGGCCAGAAUGAAGCAUCCUACCUUAACAACAGUCCAAAACUCUGCUGGAAUUUGGACUAG
rnacentral:lncRNA from 1 species